UACGUAGGGUGCAGGCGUUAGUCGGAAUUACUGGGCGUAAAGCGUGCGUAGGCGGUUUGUUAAGACAGGUGUGAAAUCCCCGGGCUUAACCUGGGAACUGCGCUUGUUACUGGCAGACUUGAGUGUGGCAGAGGGGGGUGGAAUUCCAGGUGUAGCAGUGAAAUGCGUAGAUAUCUGGAGGAACACCGAUGGCGAAGGCAGCCCCCUGGGCUAACACUGACGCUGAUGCACGAAAGCGUGGGGAGCAAACAGG
rnacentral:rRNA from 1 species